AUUUGUGCUGUUUGUUCUUUUUUUUUAGUUCUUUAUAUUCACUUCAUACAUAAAUAGGUUGACCAAAUAUUAACCUAAUACAAACACAGAGUAUUACGUUGUCAUCCUGAUAAGAAUCCAUAUGACAAGUCCACUACUCAGUUUCAAAAACUUCAGGAAGCUAAGGAGGUGCUCUGUGACCCAGAAAAGCGAAAUGAUUAUGGCAGAUGGAAAACAAGUGGAAUAACAAUUUCAUACAAGCAAUGGAUUGUCAUAAAUAAACGAUCUACUGCCGUUCUCCACUGGGCCAUACCAAAACAUGAACAAAAAAUGCUACGAUCAAGCAGUAGCAAGUCAGAGAUAAUAAAACUGAAACAAAGUAAGCUUUCACCUAAAAUUGGUUCACAAUAUUGUUCAUACAAUUCCAUCCUAGAAAAGUUUAGGAACUAUGAAA